AAGAAAACCAGAACUUGACGGCUGAUUGCAGAUCAUGACCAGAGCCGGGGCUGCUCCUGCCACAGUUCCCACCAAGGCAGGUCCCACUGAGAAUGCCAAGGUGUAUCUCAGCACAGGCCAUGUCCUGGCAGAUCCUGAGCUUUUGCCUGCCAGAACCUACUUAAAAAAAGAAACUGCCCUCUGCCCUUAAACUGUCUCAUCUUGGGAGUCUAAAUCCAGAUACUCCUUGGAGGGGAGAAAAGGCUCAGUACUUGUGUGUCCCGCUGACCCCGGGCCUGUGACUCUGAGAGACACCCCCACGUUGAGCACCCACCUUAGGGGGCUGCUACAUUCGUCACAGGUCCCUGGGAGCCGCCUCUCCCUCGGGCACCUGCGGGAGCAGGAGUGUGGCUCAGGGAGAUGUGUCUGCCCCCGGGAUAUUCCCCCUCGCAGAUUUGUUUGCCCAGGGCAGCCACAGUAGCCAUGGCAUUACCCUGCACGGCCUGGCGGGGCCGACCAGGCGGUGCCACCGAAGCUCUAAGGGGGCUGUGAUGGAGAUCGAAUCCUGCCUGCACCAGUGCCAGAAGCAGAGAACCACAGCACUGCACAACCCUCCUGUCAUUUUUUUUUUUUUUUUUUGCUUUUCUUGCUAAGAAACAAUUUAUCAAGGCCUCCACUGCUGGUACUGACAAGAUUCAUGGCAGCAGCAGGAUCUGGGCUUAGGUGGUGGGACAGGGCUCUUCCUCACAGCCACCGCUGUGCUCUGCUCCUCAUAAAUAGGAGGCAGUGUCCUAACUGGUGUGAUCCAGCCUCUACAGUCACACAGGUGCAGAUCAAAUGAAGCCCAGAGCAGCAAAGGCCUUUGCUUUGUCUAAU